GACAACGAACGAACGAACGUACAAAUACAAACAAACAAGUGCUACCCUCAAAGAAAGAAACAGACCGUAUAAAGGGAUUUUCAUUGUUCCUUGAUCAUUUUGUUUUUUUUUGGUUU
rnacentral:ribozyme from 1 species